GGGGAGCAAACAGGAUUAGAUACCCUGGUAGUCCACGCUGUAAACGUUGAUCACUCGUCGUUGGCAAUACAUCGUCAGCGGCUUAGCGAAAGCAGUAAGUGAUCCACCUGGGGAGUACGUCAGCAAUGAUGAAACUCAAAGGAAUUGACGGGGGCCCGCACAAGCGGAGGAACAUGUGGUUUAAUUCGAUGAUACGCGAGGAACCUUACAUGGGCUUAAAUGUAGAGUGCAUAGAGUGGAAACAUUCUUUUCCUUCGGGACCCUUUACAAGGUGCUGCAUGGUUGUCGUCAGCUCGUGCCGUGAGCUGUCGGGUUAAGUCCCAUAACGAGCGCAACCCCUAUCGUCAGUUGCCAUCACUUCGGGUGGGAACUCUGGCGAAACUGCCGGUGCAAACCGCGAGGAAGGUGGGGAUGACGUCAAAUCAGCACGGCCGUUAUGUCCAGGGCUACACACGUGUUACAAUGGCCGGUACAGUGGGACGCUACCACGCAAGUGGAGGCUAAUCUCUAAAACCGGUCGUAGUCCGGAUCGGAGUCUGCAACUCGACUCCGUGAAGCUGGAUUCGCUAGUAAUCGCACAUCAGCAAUGCUGCGGUGAAACGUUCCCGGGCAUUGACACACCGCCCGUCAAGCCAUGGAAGCUGGGGGUGCCUGAA
rnacentral:rRNA from 1 species